UACGAAGGGGGCUAGCGUUGCUCGGAAUCACUGGGCGUAAAGGGCGCGUAGGCGGGCUCUUAAGUUAGGGGUGAAAGCCCAAGGCUCAACCUUGGAAUUGCCUUUGAUACUGAGGGCCUUGAGACCGGAAGAGGUCGGCGGAACUGCGAGUGUAGAGGUGAAAUUCGUAGAUAUUCGCAAGAACACCAGUGGCGAAGGCGGCCGACUGGUCCGGUUCUGACGCUGAGGCGCGAAAGCGUGGGGAGCAAACAGG
rnacentral:rRNA from 1 species